UAGCUCUGGUUUCCCUUCAAAACGCAUAAAUCUUUCGCCUUUUACUAAAGAUUUCCGUGGAGGAGCAACUCAAUGAGUCUUAAGGCUAUUUUUUAAUGGCCCUUUAUGGGCCAA